rnacentral:rRNA from 1 species
GAUAAAGCCUGAAGCUUAACUCCAGAAAGUCUGAAGAGACUGCAAGACUUGAGAUCGGGUGAGGUUAAACGUACUUUCAGGGUAGGGGUAAAAUCCUGUAAUCCCGGAAGGACGACCAGUGGCGAAAGCGUUUAACUAGAACGAAUCUGACGGUAAGGAACGAAGGCUAGGGUAGCAAACCGGAUUAGAUACCCGGGUAGUCCUAGCUGUAAACAUUGCCCAUUUGAUGUUGCUUUCCCGUUGAGGGAAGGCAGUGUCGGAGCGAAGGUGUUAAAUGGGCCGCUUGGGAAGUAUGGUCGCAAGACUGAAACUUAAAGGAAUUGGCGGGGGAGCACCGCAACGGGAGGAAUGUGCGGUUUAAUUGGAUUCAACGCCGGAAAACUCACCGGGAACGACCUGUGCAUGAGAGUCAACUUGACGAGCUUACUCGAUAGCAGGAGAGGUGGUGCAUGGCCGUCGUCAGCUCGUACCGUACGGCGUUCCUUGAGUGUGAUAACGAG